CCUGGUUGAUCUUGCCAGUAGUCAUAUGCUUGUCUCAAAGAUAAGCCAUGCAUGUCUAAGUUCAAGCGAAAAUAAAGUGAAACCGCGAAUGGCUCAUUACAUCAGUUAUGGUUCCUUAGAUCGCACUUACUACUUGGAUAACUGUGGUAAUUCUAGAGCUAAUACAUGCGCUGGGCUCCAACCCUCGUGGAAGGAGCGCUUUUAUUAGAUCAAAGCCAAUCGGGCCUUCGGGUCCGUUUACUUGGUGACCCUGAAUAACUUUGCUGAUCGCAUGGCCUCGUACCGGCGACGUAUCUUUCAAGUGUCUGCCUUAUCAACUGUCGAUGGUAGGUUAUGCGCCUACCAUGGUGGUAACGGGUAACGGGGAAUCAGGGUUCGAUUCCGGAGAGGGAGCCUGAGAAACGGCUACCACAUCCAAGGAAGGCAGCAGGCGCGCAAAUUACCCACUCCCAGCUCGGGGAGGUAGUGACGAAAAAUAACGAUACGGAACUCUUACGAGGCUCCGUAAUCGGAAUGAGUACACUUUAAAUCCUUUAACGAGGAUCUAUUGGAGGGCAAGUCUGGUGCCAGCAGCCGCGGUAAUUCCAGCUCCAAUAGCGUAUAUUAUUAUUGUUGCGGUUAAAAAGCUCGUAGUUGGAUCUCGGUUUCGGGCGAGCGGUGUACCUUGCGGUAUUUACUGUUUGCCCGGACGAUUUUGUUGGUUCGUUUAUGGUUCUCUUAACCGAGUGCCAUAAGUGGCCAGCACGUUUACUUUGAAAAAAAUUGGAGUGCUCAAAGCAGGCGCUACAGCCUGAACAUUAGUGCAUGGAAUAAUGGAAUAGGAUCUCGGUUCUAUUUCGUUGGCUUUCGGAGUCGAGGUAAUGAUUAAUAGGGACAGACGGGGGCAUUCGUACUGCGACGUUAGAGGUGAAAUUCUUGGAUCGUCGCAAGACGAACUACUGCGAAAGCAUUUGCCAAGAAUGUUUUCAUUAAUCAAGAACGAAAGUUAGAGGUUCGAAGGCGAUCAGAUACCGCCCUAGUUCUAACCAUAAACGAUGUCGACCGGCGAUCCGUUAUCGGUAACUGAAUGACUUAACGGGCAGCCUCCGGGAAACCAGAGUGUUUGGAUUCCGGGGGAAGUAUGGUUGCAAAGCUGAAACUUAAAAGAAUUGACGGAAGGGCACCACCAGGAGUGGAGCCUGCGGCUUAAUUUGACUCAACACGGGAAAUCUCACCAGGCCCGGACACCGG
rnacentral:rRNA from 1 species